rnacentral:rRNA from 1 species
UACGGAGGGGGCUAGCGUUGUUCGGAAUUACUGGGCGUAAAGCGCACGUAGGCGGCUUUGUAAGUUAGAGGUGAAAGCCCGGGGCUCAACUCCGGAAUUGCCUUUAAGACUGCAUCGCUAGAAUUGUGGAGAGGUAAGUGGAAUUCCGAGUGUAGAGGUGAAAUUCGUAGAUAUUCGGAAGAACACCAGUGGCGAAGGCGGCUUGCCAGAACGCACUACGACGGUGAGGGAUGAAAGCUGGGGGAGCAAACCGG